GGUUUCGUGGCCCAAUGGCAAGGCGUCUGACUACGACUACCACCGCAAUCAGGAGAUUCUGGGUUCGACCCCCAGCGAGAUCA